AGAAAACUGCUUCAAGAAGACGAUCUCCUUCUUCUCCUUUUUCCGCUCUUCUAAUAUCUAAAUUUCUUUUCGACGCCAUUUGAAGAUCCUUUUUUUUAUGUAAAGAAUCGAUGAAGAGCAGAGACAAUAAUCCAUCAGAGCCUUGUCACAUAUGUGGGGAUAUCGGCGUUGAGAAAUUUAUAAUGACUUGUUUCAAUUGCAGAGAAGUCAGAGAGCAUAUGUACUUAUUGCGCAAAGAUCUCUUUACGAUCUGUCCCAGACAUGUGGCUAUGUCAAGUGUGCAGAUCCCCAAGUCGUGCAUUACACAUAUCGAAUCUUGUUGACAACGAUAUCAAGGAUUUAGCAACCGAUUAUUUGAUGUCGAAUGAUGUAUCACCAAGAAAGAAACGCAAACCGCAGUUUCUGGCUUUUCCUUCUCCAAAGAGAAAACCACGGACUCCUCGGUUUCCGGGUAAAAUCACAAAAUUUGGUUCAAUCUGGUUAUGAUCUUGUGCCUGUGUUCCAUAUUGUAAUUUUUAUUUUUUUUUUGUUAGUAGAGGAUAUUGAAGAUAUUAACCGUCGUUAAGGACCUCAAAGCUCAUACCCUUGUGUAUUUCGUCGGAUUGAUUGAGACAUUGUUAACUUCUCCUGAGCUUCUUUGUUUCAGUAUUUAGGGUUCUUAGAGUUUCAUUUUCCUUGGGUUUCAAGUUACUUACCGGCUUAUUAAGGUUGGGCUUCAUUGUCUUGUGACAGUCCUCUCAUUGACAUUCUUUCUUUCUUACUCUGCGUCCCACUUGGAACUCACUCUUUUGAGUAAUUGAGUUGGUUUUCUUGUUUUAUUCUUAUCAUAUUUAAAUGUUUAAAAUAUACUCAAAUUUUGUAUUUUUUGGUUGGUUAAACUCGAAAUUUGUAUCUGGUUCAACAUUUCUUUUGUGA